UACGUAGGGUGCAAGCGUUGUCCGGAAUUAUUGGGCGUAAAGAGCUUGUAGGCGGUUUGUCGCGUCUGCUGUGAAAUUUCGGGGCUCAACCCCGAACUUGCAGUGGGUACGGGCAGACUAGAGUGUGGUAGGGGAGACUGGAAUUCCCGGUGUAGAGGUGAAAUUCGUAGAUAUCGGGAGGAACACCGGUGGCGAAGGCGGCGACCUGGGUCGAGACUGACGCUGAGGUGCGAAAGCGUGGGGAGCAAACAGG
rnacentral:rRNA from 1 species